rnacentral:lncRNA from 1 species
GGGACAGCUCCCAGGGCCAGGGAGGAACUUUGGGGUAUCCCUGCAAGGGCAGGGCUGGAUCAGUGACCCCUCUGGCUGUUCCCCCACAGUCCCAGCUGGAAUUGCAGCACCCCAAAGGAUAUGGUGAAGGUUUCCACCCUGCUGAAGAAGGCCUCCCUGCUGGCAGACUCCAGGCAAGGAGCCUCCAGCUGCGAGGGGCCGUUGGCGCGCUCCGAGCAGUCCGACGUGUCCUUCCUGAAAGGGACAGCAGCAGGAAACUGGGAAAGGGGGGACUGGGAACAGGCUGGCACUGGGAAAGGAUGGAUUUAGGAACAGGCUGGGACUGGGAAAGGGUGGAAAUGGGAACAGGCUGGAUUUGGGGAAAGGAGGGAUUUAGGGACAGACUGGAUUUGGGAAAGGAUGGAUUUGGGAACAGGCUGGAUUUAGGGAAAGGAUGGAAAUGGGAACAGGCUGGAUUUAGGGAAAGGAUGGAUUUAGGAAAAGGAUGGAUUUGGGAACAGGCUGGAUUUUGGGAAAGGAUGGAUUUGGGAACAGGCUGGAUUUAGGGAAAGGAUGGAAAUGGGAACAGGCUGGAUUUGGGAAAGGAUGGAUUUAGGAACAAGCUGGAUUUGGGAAAGGGUGGAGAUGGGAACAGGCUGGGUUUAGGAACAGGCUGGAUUUAGGAAAAGGUUGGAUUUUUGGAAAGGUUGGGUUUUAUGAAGAGAUUGGAUUUAGGAAAAGGUUUGAUUUCAGGAAAAGGUUGGAUUUCAGGAACAGGCUGUAUUUUGGGAAAGGCUGGGUUUAGGAACAGGCUGGACUCUGGGAAAGGUUGGGUUUUAGGAAAAGGCUAGAUUUAGGAAAAUGUUGAAUCUAGGAAAAGAUUGAAUUUAGGAACAGGUUGGACUUUGGGAAAGGUUGGGUUUUUAAAAGGCUGGAUUUUAGGGACAGACUGGAUUUUAGGAAAAGGCUGAAUUUUGAACAAGGUUGAUUUUAGGAAAAUAUUGGAUUUUAAAGGCUGGAUUUAGAAAAAGGUUGGAUUUAGGAACAGGUUGGAUUUAGGAAAAGGCUGUAUUUUAGGAUAAGACUGGAUUUUAUGGACACACUGGAUUUUAGGAAAAGGCUGGAUUUCAGGAAAGGUUGGGUUUUAGGAAAAGGCUGAAUUUUAGGGACAGACUGGAUUUUAGGAAAAGACUGGAUUUAGAAAAAGAUUGGAUUUUAGAGAGAGAGGAUUUUGGGAAAAUGUUGGAUUUUAGGAAAAGGUUGGAUUUAGGAAAAGGCUGGAUUUUAGGGACAGACUGGAUUUUAUGAAAUGACUGGAUUUAAGAAAAGACUGGAUUUAGGAAAAGGCUUGGUUUAGCAAAAGGCUGGAUUUCAGGAAAAGGCUGGAUUUAGGAAAAGGUUGGAUUUAGGAACAGGCUGGAUUUUGGUAAAGGGUUUUAGGAAAAGGCUGGAAAAGGUUGGAUUUAGGAAAAGACUGCAUUUUGGGAAAGGUGAGUCUUAGGAAAAAACUGGAUUUAGGAAAAGGCUGGAUUGUGGGAAAGGCUGGAGAUGGGAACAGGCUGGAUU